rnacentral:rRNA from 1 species
GACGAACGCUGGCGGCGUGCUUAACACAUGCAAGUCGAACGGAAAGACCCUGCUUUUGUGGGGUGCUCGUGUGGCGAACGGGUGAGUAACACGUGAGUAACCUGCCCUUGACUUUGGGAUAACUUCAGGAAACUGGGGCUAAUACCGGAUAGGAGCUCCUGCUGCAUGGUGGGGGUUGGAAAGUUUCGGCGGUUGGGGAUGGACUCGCGGCUUAUCAGCUUGUUGGUGGGGUAGUGGCUUACCAAGGCUUUGACGGGUAGCCGGCCUGAGAGGGUGACCGGCCACAUUGGGACUGAGAUACGGCCCAGACUCCUACGGGAGGCAGCAGUGGGGAAUAUUGCACAAUGGGCGGAAGCCUGAUGCAGCAACGCCGCGUGCGGGAUGACGGCCUUCGGGUUGUAAACCGCUUUCGCCUGUGACGAAGCGUGAGUGACGGUAAUGGGUAAAGAAGCACCGGCUAACUACGUG